UACGAAGGGGGCUAGCGUUGCUCGGAAUCACUGGGCGUAAAGCGCACGUAGGCGGAUUGCUAAGUCAGGGGUGAAAUCCUGGAGCUCAACUCCAGAACUGCCUUUGAUACUGGCAACCUUGAGUCCGGGAGAGGUGAGUGGAACUGCGAGUGUAGAGGUGAAAUUCGUAGAUAUUCGCAAGAACACCAGUGGCGAAGGCGGCUCACUGGGCCGAUACUGACGCUGAGGCACGAAAGCGUGGGGAGCAAACAGG
rnacentral:rRNA from 1 species